rnacentral:sRNA from 1 species
GCCAGGCAGGGGGGCACAUGCCUGUAAUUCCAGCUACUUGGGAGGCUGAGGCAGGAGGAUCAUAACUUUGCUAGACCCUGUCUCAA